UUUUUCUUGGCUCAUGACGUUUGACUACGAUUUUGCACCAUGUGACAAAAGAUUUGGACACACCUGGAAUCUGGUUUCAGCUGUGAAAUCCCCAAGUUUUCAAGUCCAUGAGAUGGCAGAGUUUUGUCUGCAAGCAUCACCAAUCCAUCCAUGAACCAUUCUUUGAACCAUUCUUUGAACUGUUCUUUGAACCAUUCUUUGAACUGUUCUUUGAACUAAUUCAUGGACCGUCAGUAGUACCAGGCAUUGUGGAACUGGCUAAGUCUGUUCCAUGAUUGGCUUUUUGUCCUCCCAUCACUCUCUGUUGCUAUCAGAAAUGCUGAGUUGACCCUCUUUUUUUCAAAGGCCCCAGCCCUGCGCUCACCCUCCCAACCAGAACAGUUUGCGGCAUCCUAUUAUUCCACAUAGUUGUUUUUACAUCCUGGCUGAACUUUCCUGUGUGAGAGGAUCAUAUAUGUGUGUCUGCAAGGACACCAGGGGCAUAACCUAACAAAUGUGUGGGGUCAAUUGGUUUCCCAAAGGGACUCUACUGAGAAGCUGGCUCACCAAGUCACGGCCCAGAUUGCUGCUGCUGAUUGCAGGGUUAAAGAGGCCCCAGGUGACCCUCAUGAGGAGGAAAAGGAUGAAGCGCACAAAAGUAGCAAAGGCCACGUAAGCGAACCUGCAGCCGAAUGCCCCACUUCUACUGAGUUCUUGACAGUGCGGAGUUGCUUAUGGAAAUCAAAGGAAAGGACAACCUUUGCGUAGCAUAAAUGCUCCAAAAAGAACUAAAAUGCAAGAAAUGCUAAACAAAAGGAAGACAGAGAACGAACUGAAGAGAUUGAGAUCUCCAGACUAAAUCAGAAAGCUUUCUUGACCACCCACUUCUGUUUUGACUCAUUGGUCACUGUACAGACUGUGACUUUGUACAUCUUUCCUAUAGAUGUGUUGGUAGAUCGCCCCCGCUGCCGUUUUCCUAGUUUAACUCUAUCUGGUUUGAGUUCGUAGGCAGCUCAAACUAGUUACUGAUUAAACUCUGUAUGUUUAACCCA